CCUACGGGCGGCAGCAGUGGGGAAUUUUGCGCAAUGCUCGUAAGAGUGACGCAGCGACGCCGCGUGAAUGACGAAGGCCUUCGGGUCGUAAAGUUCUUUCGACAGGGAAGAAAAUGCCUAUAAGUAACUGUGUAUGUAUUGACGGUACCUGUAUAAGCAGCCCCGGCUAACUCCGUGCCAUCAGCCGCGGUAAUACGGAGGGGGCGAGCGUUGUUCGGAGGGACUGGGCGUAAAGAGCACGUAGGCGGUGUUGUAAGUCAUUAGUCAAAGACUAGAGCUCAACUUUAGUAAGGCUAGUGAUACUAUAAUACUAGAGUAUCAGAGAGGAUUGCAGAAUUCCUGGUGUAGCGGUGAAAUGCGUAGAUAUCAGGAGGAAUACCGUUAGCGAAGGCGGCAAUCUGGCUGGAAACUGACGCUGAGGUGCGAAAGCGUGGGUAGCAAACAGGAUUAGAUACCCCAGUAGUC
rnacentral:rRNA from 1 species